AUUAACGAGAAUAAUGAGGAAAAAUAAGGUAUACACCGAAAGGUACGAUCUUCUUAAACGAUCGUUGAACGUUCGCUCACAUGCGACCAUUUUGAGGCGGUUGUAGCAGACGAAGUAGACAGGGGAGUCUCGUAUUUCAACGGAGUAUUUCAUUUGAGUUUGGAAUUGAUUGCUCGGCGGGUUGAAGAAAGUUGGUGGGUUGGGGUGCGGAGAGAGAGAGAGAGAGAGAGAGAGAGAGUGAUGGAGGGAGGGAGAGAGAGAGGGGGAGAGAAUAUAGAAGAGGGUGCGCGGCUUGGUUCGUUGGAAGGGAGCCUCCAAGCUGAAGAGGAGGAUACGAAGGGGGAAGUGGCACAGGGUCAGAAGGAGAGGGAGAGUGAAUAUAUAUUCGGUGAGAACAGAACGGCCGAACGACGAGAGACGGAAUGGAACGAAACGAACGUAUAUUUCCAGAACAAAUAUUUACGCGAAAGAGGCUUAAUACGCGGCUACAAUGUCGGAAAAGGGCUACUACUGCAUUCGCAGAAAGCAAGCACAUAAGCAGUUUCAGUACGGGCCAACUAGUUGCUGUAUCUACAACUCGAAAGCUCAUUUCGAAUGGGAGAGAGAGUUCGAAAGUUUUAAUUUCUUCGGUUUACGGUAGGUUUUAUGAGGCAUCGAAAUGCAGCCGCUAUACCUGCCGGAACGAGCACUUCUACGAGUAUACAAGAGGGUUGAGACGAGAGAGACAGCCAUCACACAUGCAUCUGUUCUUCACGUUCGCUUUGGACCUCGGCUCAGCCAGUCGAGAUACACGACCAAAGGGGUGUUAUGUGGUCGCGGCGCACAGGUGUAACGGCCUCGUAAAUCAAGCCGAUGCUAAAUUCCGGCCAUUUCGAAGCAGUAAAAUGACAGGCCGCAAUAAUAGAGAAAGCCGCGGACACUCUUAUUGGACUGGGAGCAAUAAAAAUCUGAAAUGAUCACUCUAAACGUACGGGUAUUUUCAUUCGAUACGAUGGAAAGGAGUAACCUGAAGAAAGAGAAAAAUAAAAAACAACAACAAAAAAAGAAGAGGAAAAAAAAUAACCUGUAGCCGGGUAAAAAAACGAUGACGAUGUUAAGUAAACAAGAAUGUGGUUCUUGUCCGCUUCCUAUGUUUUAUGUAUACGCUAUGUAUGUAUAUACGUACGUACGUAUGCAUGUGUGUAUAUAUAUAUGUAUUUAUGUAUGUAUCGGGUGCGUCGUAGAAAGCAACAUUAUAUACUCAGCGACGAUUCGACGAGAGGAAAUACCAGAACGAGAUGCUAAAAUGUAUUCAUGGAAAAUGUAUAGGGAUUAAUAAUCGUAAAAGUCUAUAUCCUUGAAGAGCGAUAAAACCGUAGGCAAUAUUCUUUCGUAGUUUCCAUACCCCUCGAGCUUUGCACUUUUUGCCCCCUUUCGCAUCAUCGAACUACUACUCAACCUCCCCAACUUCUAGAUUUUCUCUCUCUUUCUAUUUCUCUCUGUCUAUUUACCUAUCUAUCUACCCAUCUAUCUAUUAAUCUCUUUUCUAUUUUUACCAAUCAAAUCUCAUCUUGCACGUUUCAAAUCAUUUUUUGAUAUAUCAUCUAUUUUUUUCUUUUUCUUCCUUCCUUCUUUCUUUCUUUGUUUUCUUUUUUUAUUUUAUUAUCUUUCAACGUAAAGCCUUUGAGAAUAGAUCCGCAUUCGUGUAUUCGUCGAUUAUUAUUAUGAUUUUAUUUAUUUGAAUAUUUCAUUUCCUUCUUAUUGAAUUGAAUAAUCGAUGAUACAG